GACGAACGCUGGCGGCGUGCCUAACACAUGCAAGUCGAGCGGAGGCAUACGAGGAGCAAUCUGAGGAUGCCUGAGCGGCGGACGGGUGAGUAACGCGUGAGCAACCUGCCUUCCACAGGGGGAUAACGUACCGAAAGGUACACUAAUACCGCAUGAGACCACGGUACCGAUGGUAGUGGGGUCAAAGGAGCAAUCCGGUGGGAGAUGGGCUCGCGUCCGAUUAGGUAGUUGGCGGGGUAACGGCCCACCAAGCCUGUGAUCGGUAGCCGGCCUGAGAGGGUGAACGGCCACAUUGGAACUGAGAGACGGUCCAAACUCCUACGGGAGGCAGCAGUGGGGAAUAUUGGGCAAUGGGGGGAACCCUGACCCAGCAACGCCGCGUGAGGGAAGAAGGUUUUCGGAUUGUAAACCUCUGUUCUUGGAGAAGAGAAGAAGACGGUAUCCAAGGAGGAAGCCCCGGCUAACUACGUGCCAGCAGCCGCCGUAA
rnacentral:rRNA from 1 species